rnacentral:rRNA from 1 species
UACGUAGGGGGCAAGCGUUAUCCGGAUUCACUGGGCGUAAAGGGAGCGCAGGCGGCAUGGCAAGUCUGAUGUGAAAACCCGGGGCCCAACCUCGGGAGUGCAUUGGAAACUGCCAGGCUGGAGUGUCGGAGGGGUAAGCGGAAUUCCUAGUGUAGCGGUGAAAUGCGUAGAUAUUAGGAGGAACACCAGUGGCGAAGGCGGCUUACUGGACGACUACUGACGCUGAGGCUCGAAAGCGUGGGGAGCAAACAGG